UAUCUUACCCUUUAAAUUCUGUAAUAAAUUCUGUAGUAAUUUGAAUAAUACUUAGGCUACUUUAAAUAUAUGAGAAAGUAACAAAACCGUUUAAAAACAGUUGAAACAGGUUUCUUUUUUUUUUUUUUAUAUAUACAAAAGGUUUGACCCCUAAUGCUCACACUGUAAAAAAAGUCCGUAAAAAUACAGUACAAUAUACCGUAAUAAUUUGAAGGAAUUUUCCGUAUUUGGUUUUUACAGGUGUUUUUCCGUAUUUUUUAAAUUACGCUUUGCAUUGUGGGAACAAGAAGCUCAGUCGAUUAUCGGCGCGAAAACAGUGCUAGAGCAGGCGCCAUUAUUCACGGAGAUAGUAUCGUCAAAAUUUCAUUUUAAAGUCAGAUUUCGGGUUUGGGGAACUGUUCUUACACUUGCGUGGUAAAUUAGUUUUUGUUAAAUGUAACAUAAACUGUAACUUUAACUUAGUUGCUGUCUAGCUUGUUUGGCAAAUGAAUGUCGGAGCCGUCAUAUUCAACAUUUUCAGCACACCGUCACAUCUUACUCGAGGAUGUGGAGGUAAGUUACUUGUUACAGUGUUCUCACUUUUAGUUUUAUAAUUAAAAGUUAAUUAACUUUUUAAUUGUUGUUGCGGUGUAUUUGUUACUGAGCGUGUCGUAAAGCAUCGGCAUAUUAACUUUACUGAGGUGAAGUUAGCAGCUGUAAGAACGUUAAAUCUGAGGUACAACUGUGUUUAGAGCGCUUUAUGCCUUCAACAGGAGCUGGCAGAGGAAUUGUCAAGAAAACACACCAUUUACGACUUUUAAAAAAAUUUUUUUAAAGAGAUUAAGAUAAGACUAGGUGAAGAUCUGACAUCGCAGAAUUCUUCAAGGAUAACACGCCUUUUCUGCCAAACGAGGUCUAAUUGCUGCUGUACUGUACACCCCAAGCACCCCCUGCAUUCUUAUCAUGGAUUGCUGUCAUUCAAGAAGUUAUAAUUUCCUCCCAUUGUGGCUGAGCUACACAUUCUCUUUUAAACAUAAAAAAUCCAGAGGAGAUGGCACCUACGCUGGAAUCCAUACAAAUGUAAGGAAUUUGUGUAAUAAGACUGUGUAUAAAGCAUUUUAUUGUGUUGCUGUUUAGUUGAAAAUAAUCAAAGGGUUAGUUCACGCAAAAAUGAAAAUUCUGUCAUUAAUCACUCACCCUCAUGUCAUUCCAAACCCAUAAGACCUUUGUUAAUUUUUUCAACACAAAUUAAGAUAUUUUUGAUUUAAA